rnacentral:tRNA from 1 species
AGGGUUGUAGCUCAGUGCCAGAGUGCUUGCCUACUAUGCUUGAGGCCCUGGGUUCAAUCCUCAGCACCACAA